UCAGGAUGAACGCUAGCGGCAGGCUUAACACAUGCAAGUCGAGGGGCAUCGGGAGUAGCAAUACUGCCGGCGACCGGCGCAAGGGUGCGUAACGCGUGAGCAACAUGCCCGUAUCAGGGGGAUAAUCCAUGGAAACGUGGUCUAAUACCCCAUAGUAAUUAUGUAAGGCAUCUUAUAUAAUUUAAAGCUUUGGUGGAUACGGAUUGGCUCGCGUGACAUUAGCUAGAUGGUAAGGUAACGGCUUACCAUGGCUACGAUGUCUAGGGGUUCUGAGAGGAAGGUCCCCCACACUGGAACUGAGACACGGUCCAGACUCCUACGGGAGGCAGCAGUGAGGAAUAUUGGACAAUGGAUGGAAAUCUGAUCCAGCCAUGCCGCGUGCAAGGGAAGACGGCCCUAUGGGUUGUAAACUGCUUUUGUAUGGGAGCAAUAAGGGCUACGCGUAGUCCGAUGAGAGUACCAUACGAAUAAGCACCGGCUAACUCCGUGCCAGCCGCCGC
rnacentral:rRNA from 1 species